rnacentral:lncRNA from 1 species
GGGGUCAUCCAUGGGUCCUCCUUGGGCCCGUGCUUCCUGCUGUACACGUCGUAAAUCUCUGUUUUGUGCAUGUCUUCCGCCCCGUAUUGUUGGUGGCGUGUUUUCCUUUGAUUGGAGCGCAUGUUAGCCUUUUGUGUCACUGCAUCCUAAAAGAAGACAGAAAAUGGACGGGUUGUGGAGGCAAAAAUGUAACGACUAGCAUGAGCAACAAGGGGUCUGCCCUAUGGUGACAUGUAAAUAGUUGUGUGGCACAUCACCCCUUUGGCCCCCCUCCUGUGUAUGUAUGUUGUUACAGGGUGGUUAACUUCGCCAGCGGCCCCCUUUCCCGGGGCAGUCCCUGCUCUCCCCUGCUAGAGGGGCACCCUAAUCCGUCACCCCAUCCGACUUCAGAAUGUAUUCGUUGGGUUCGGCAACUCACCACCAGCAUCCAACCAAAUCUAGCGGAUCAACGGCGCAUCAACUUAGUUCCUGGUCAGCUCGCAAGUUGAUAUUAUCACGUCCUACACCGUCCAUAAGAUGGGGGGCCACCUCCCAUUUCAUCACUCCUCAAACACCCGAGGAGCCGGCAGGCGGAUUUGAACCCGGGUCGACUGGGUCGACUGGGAGCAGAAGUCAGGCCUUAACCUCUGCCAGCCGCCUGCCUGUGUAUGUCUGUCCUUGCAGUCAAUUCUAUUUCCACAACCGCGCAACGAUGGAGAGCACCUGGGAUGCACCAAACCACCUCGCUUGGGUUCGAC